UCAUCUACACGCGAAAAUGACUCAAUUUUCGACAAAUUUGAGUGUUGUCAAAGUGGUGAUGGAUUAAGAGUAGAAACUGGUUCCUACAGCAACAUUUUUCGCGUGUUUGGUUGUCGUUCUGGUACCAGUGAAGCAACAACACUUGAAGCAACCCGAAACCCUACAAGGUGGCAGGUCCAGACUACCUCUAGAGCUACCAGAUCCCUAAGUACUCUGACAAGGGCCGUUAGACGAGGUGGAGAGAGCACUGAAAUAGAUGCCAAUGGAAAUUCCUAUGAUCUGAGCACAAAGUUGCUCCAUUUGGCCUGGCACCCAUCUGAAAAUCUAAUUGCUUGUGCUGCAGCCAAUAGCUUGUACAUGUACUACGCAUAAACAAGCGAAACGAAUAGAGCGACAGUUUUU